rnacentral:rRNA from 1 species
UGGGGAAUUUUGGACAAUGGGCGCAAGCCUGAUCCAGCCAUGCCGCGUGCGGGAAGAAGGCCUUCGGGUUGUAAACCGCUUUUGUCGGGGAAGAAACGCUCUGGGCUAAUACCCUGGGGUAAUGACGGUACCCGAAGAAUAAGCACCGGCUAACUACGUGCCAGCAGCCGCGGUAAUACGUAGGGUGCAAGCGUUAAUCGGAAUUACUGGGCGUAAAGCGUGCGCAGGCGGUUGUGUAAGACAGAUGUGAAAUCCCCGGGCUUAACCUGGGAACUGCAUUUGUGACUGCACAGCUGGAGUGCGGCAGAGGGGGAUGGAAUUCCGCGUGUAGCAGUGAAAUGCGUAGAUAUUCGGAAGAACACCAGUGGCGAAGGCGGCUCACUGGACGCAUAUUGACGCUGAGGUACGAAAGCGUGGGGAGCAAA